rnacentral:rRNA from 1 species
ACGAACGCUGGCGGCGUGCUUCACACAUGCAAGUCGAACGGUAAGGCCCCAGCUUGCUGGGGUACACGAGUGGCGAACGGGUGAGUAACACGUGGGUGACCUGCCCCGCACUUCGGGAUAAGCCUGGGAAACUGGGUCUAAUACCGGAUAGGACCGCACCGUGAGGGUGUGGUGGAAAGUUUUUCGGUGUGGGAUGGGCCCGCGGCCUAUCAGCUUGUUGGUGGGGUAAUGGCCUACCAAGGCGGCGACGGGUAGCCGGCCUGAGAGGGUGGACGGCCACAUUGGGACUGAGACACGGCCCAGACUCCUACGGGAGGCAGCAGUGGGGAAUAUUGCACAAUGGGCGGAAGCCUGAUGCAGCGACGCCGCGUGGGGGAUGACGGCCUUCGGGUUGUAAACUCCUUUCACCAUCGACGAAGGUUUUCUGACGGUAGAUGGAGAAGAAGCACCGGCUAACUACGUG